GCCCAAGCGCUGUGUUCAGGCGCUCCAGCUGAGACCAGACCUAAUUAAUGCAAGGAAAGGCUGCUGUAUGCACAGCUAUCUAGGUGGCUCUGCCUUUUCAUCUUUGGACUUUGUCCUAAUCAGAGCGGAUGCCGCUUUUUGAUCAGGUUAUUUGAGGGGCUGUGAGAGUGUCUUCCUUCCCCUUUAUCCUCUUUCAAUUCAUAUCUUUGGCAAACAUUAGACUGUUUCUACUGACAAUAGGCAUUUUUGCUUAUUAUUGACAGAUUAAUUCUAUUAAUGGCUUAAAAUCCUGC